UACGGAGGGUGCAAGCGUUAUCCGGAUUCACUGGGUUUAAAGGGUGCGUAGGUGGGCAGGUAAGUCAGUGGUGAAAUCUCCGGGCUUAACCCGGAACUGCCGUUGAUACUAUCUGUCUUGAAUAUAGUGGAGGUGAGCGGAAUAUGUCAUGUAGCGGUGAAAUGCUUAGAUAUGACAUAGAACACCCAUUGCGAAGGCAGCUCGCUACACUAUCAUUGACACUGAGGCACGAAAAGCGUGGGGGAUCAAACAGG
rnacentral:rRNA from 1 species